UACGAAGGGGGCUAGCGUUGCUCGGAAUGACUGGGCGUAAAGGGCGCGUAGGCGGUUUGUACAGUCAGGUGUGAAAUUCCCGGGCUCAACCUGGGAACUGCGUUUGAUACGGAUGGGCUAGAGUUCGGGAGAGGAGAGUGGAAUUCCCAGUGUAGAGGUGAAAUUCGUAGAUAUUGGGAAGAACACCGGUGGCGAAGGCGGCUCUCUGGACCGAGACUGACGCUGAGGCGCGAAAGCGUGGGGAGCAAACAGG
rnacentral:rRNA from 1 species